rnacentral:piRNA from 1 species
AGGAAGAUAAGAGAAUCCACAACCACCAUC